rnacentral:rRNA from 2 species
AGAUUAAGUUAUUAAGGGCGCACGGUGGAUGCCUUGGCACUAGAAGCCGAUGAAGGACGUUACUAACGACGAUAUGCUUUGGGGAGCUGUAAGUAAGCUUUGAUCCAGAGAUUUCCGAAUGGGGAAACCCAGCAUGAGUUAUGUCAUGUUAUCGAUAUGUGAAUACAUAGCAUAUCAGAAGGCAC